rnacentral:piRNA from 1 species
UGCUUUUGCUGAUCUGGGAUGGCAUG